UCAGCCCAGGGCCUGCUGGGAGUUGUAGGACGACCGUUUUCCUGGUUCCCGAGGGUCCUGGUGGGGCGGCGGUCGUUUGUCUUCCGCGCGGGUGUGAGCCUGCGAGUUCCCCCUGGGUCUCCCCAGCUCGUUUUAGAUCGGGAGUCCCUCAGGCCUAACACGCCGCUUCCAGGAGCUCCUGCGGCUCGCUAGCUCCUGGCUUUUUCUGGGGUAAGGCCCCUCAGGGUCUGGUUCUGGGGACCCGUCAGGGAGACCGUUGGACCGAGGUCCAGCAGUGAGGCCUUCGUUCGGCCCCCGCCCGGAGCUCGACUCCCCAUUCUUGGGGCUGGAGAAGCCGUUUGACCCAUCGGGGCCGGGAGUGCGGAUGGCCGAACGGGUUAAGUGUUGUCACAGAAUUCCACAGUCGUGUAUAACGGAAAGGGAGCGAGUUUGACCCGCCGUUUUUAUCGGUCAAUCAAGGAGGGCCGGUGACUGGUCACAAUGGGAUCGUGGAGGAUGUCAAAGUGGGAUAGCGCUUUGUGGGCUCACAGACUCGUUGAGAAGAUGAACACACCAGGCGCCCUUUACAAGUUUUUUGUCUCCGUUACGAGUCCUUACAAGGGGGUCUCCUGAUUCGGCCCUAUGGGGCCUUUGCUGCACCUGCGAUCUAGGACCUAGUUCUUGAGAAUUCCAGAAAUGUGUGCUGCAGUAAGUUACGGAAACCACGCAGACUUGAGUUUGCUAUGUCUUUCUCUGAACUCGGUCUCAACCCUCCCUGAUGCCUGGUGAUGCUUUGCUUCAUGUCAUUUUCAUGCUGUAUCAUAUUUCCCAUGGAUUCUUUUGUUAUUUAUAUUUAAUGAACAUGUCAACUUGCAAGAUUAGUCAUGAAAAUUUUUGUUUGGAAGAGGCUGUUUGUCUGGAAGACGCUUGCCCCGGUAUCUUCAUGGCUUGCUCCCUACCAGAAUGAUUUUAGGCAUUUUCCUCAUGUCUAGGGUCCACCAAUUUUAAAUCUACAGCCCCUUACUCAAUUCUGCACCUUUCCUUUUAUAUAAAAUUAUGUGGGUACAACCCAGGCUGCAACUUCACCCUUUACCAGCAGAAACUACUCUCUAAUGAAUGAUGUACUCCAGAAUGAAAAUUCCUCAAGUGAAAUGCACGAGAUUAGGUAUACUUGAGGACAAAUAACAAGGAAUGCAUAAGCUGGCCUCAGGAGACAUUUUGGAUCAUCUGGUAAAGGCUUCACCUCAGCAGAUUACAACCAUCUUCUAAAGUCUUGGAGAUAGUCCCCAAGGAACUUAUUGGGAACACAACAAGGUGGUGCCUUAGAGGGAGUGAGGAGGAGGCUUGCAGUUUCACUGCCAGCCCCUUUGUGAGUCAGGGGAGGGCUCUGGCGGAAGAUGUGCAAGUGGGGAAGCCAUGCAGUCUCCUCCAAGGAGAGGGGCCAUCCUCAGAUGGCUGAAGUUCAUGAGCAACCAAGUUGAAAGUCGCCAAAGAAUGUUCAUGUUUUAAUACAUAUAAUAACACGAUAGCCAAUGUUUAUGUAACGUUUUAAAUUUUUUAUAGGACUUUUACACACAACCGUGCUCUUUCAGAAAUAGUAUGGGUUAUGAUGAUAGAUUUGAGUUUGAAUUCUGGUUCAACCUAUUGGCUAUGUGAUCUUAGGUAAGUUACUUAACCUCAGGACCUGUUUUCUCCUCUGUUUUCACCACCUCAGCAGUGGUGCUCUGGUCAAGGUGAUACCCACUUAUGGGAUAAGGAUUGAGUGAGACAAAUCCCUAGUAUGACAUUUGACACAUGGGAAGCACUUGAUUUCCUUUCCUUCUCUAAAUAUGGUUAUUUGCAUCAGUGGACCUCAAACUUCCACGAUAGUUACUUGUUUAUAAAGGUAACAUUUUCUCUUCAUCUAUGUUUCAUGUUACACAGUGGUUCUUAACUCCAGCAAUGGGGGUGGAGGUGGUGAUGUCUAUGUUGUUAAAAAGCACCUGCACCUCUCUACUCCCUCACUGAGAAUCACUGGUCUACACUUUGGUACCCUAAGUAUCUCUCGCUAGUUUCAUAUUUUUGUUUGGUAUUUUUCAUUCAGCUUGAUUUCAGUGAAGUAAGGAUUUGCCUCCAUAGGAGGGCGAUACAUUAAGCUAAUGAAAAAGAUAGUUGAUAAAUUACCUUCUCAUGUGUAGCUAGAUGCCAGGGGGCAUUUUUUUCUUGGGGUGAAGUAUUAAUGGAAAGAAUGGUGGAAAGACUGAGGGUACUCAGGGCCUACUGGAGGGUCAGUUGGGCCAUAUGGGAGAAAAUGGAAAAAAGGGACGGUGAGAGGAACUGAAGACAAUUGUUUUUCUCAUAGAUCCUCAUUUGGUAGUCUGUGACUUGGCUUCUUCUGGAGUACCUACUGCCUCGCAAUAGAAACUGUUCUCUUUAUGCUGUGCCUCUGUCACACUUCCUGUCUCACCUACCCUGGAUAGGAGACCUGGACCCAGUGCUUGAGUCAUAUAUGGCUACCUGAGCCGACUCAUCAAAGUCAUAUUAAGUUCCUUAAGGUCUUGGAAUUUUAUUUGUCAAAAUGUAAAUAGUUCUGCCUAUAAUGAUACGUGAAUGGUUGCAAAUAAAAUUUGGUAACUGCAAAUAUGGAAGGCAAAGAGAAAGGAAAUUGUCUCGGUCUACUAUGACCCGCUCACAGGCUAGAUUAACUUAGCAUCACUUUUGACUUGUUCUAAAGAAGGGCCGUAGGACCAAGUUAUCCAUAAAGUUCUUUUUGGAAGUAUUUAAAGUUUUGGGUAAGGGACCUCAAAAUUGAAAUUACUAAGGAUACUUCUUAAGCCAGGCAGAGAGAUUUGAACUGGAGAUAAGACAGAGCUGAAGGUCAAGUUAUGACUUUGAGAAAAGACAGGCGUAUCAUUACCUGGGAGAGCCAUGCCUUUCAAAUAGACACAGAGGCUCCUGUAGUUGUAACUACAGACCUCCCUUCCAGGCUCUGACUUAACUGCUUUGGCCCAGCAGACACCAUCAGUAAACAAACCCUCUUGGGAGUAUCUGCUUGACCCUCUUUUAUAAAAAUAAACUUCCAAGGGCUGCCUGGGCCCCGUCCUUAUUUUGUCAUCAUCUUCAAGGGAGUCUGGGUACACACUAAUGAAGAGCAAUAGACAAGACUGCGUGUGAUUUUGUGCUAAACUGCAUAUAUAGACAAGAUAAGAGAAUAAAAUCCUGGUGCAUAAGACCACUCAGAGACGGCUUCCUGGGGAAAGAAGAAUUUUUGCUUCAGGGUAGGUAGAAUUUAAAGAAAGGCAAGAGAGAGCAUAGCCCAGGUUCUGUUUUAUGUGACUGUUAAUUUUCACUCAUGGCUCCCAUACUGAAACUCAUGGAGAUGAUGGAUGAGAAAGAGGAUAUAAGACAAGGUUAGAAGAAGCAAGGAGCUCAGGCACAUAGUAAGACAGUCUGAAUUAGAGCAGCCAGUUGAACAUGUGGAGACUUCACCGGCUGGAGGGAGAUUGAGAAUUACAAGUUUCAGUAGAACCAAAGCACACCACAUAUACCCUCAGGCAGAAGCCUUAUUAUGCAAUAAUGACCCCGUACACGCCCCAUUUCCCAAUUAACAAUGCACAGAUUGAGGUCACUGUGCACUUAAAACAAAUCUUCAUACAACCUGGGUAGAGCUGGUAGCCAACACUUUACCUUGAAGUUUGAUUUGUGCGUUUCCUCAGAUAUUUAAUACUUCUGAAAUGUUUUAGCCUUUGACAUCUAGAUUUGAGCUUCCCAAAUGUUUGUAGCGUACAUUAUAUUCUGGUCCUUGCACUUCAGCUGAUAUGAUGCAUCUGUUGUCUAAUGCGUCUGCUGUGCGCUCAUGGACAAGGCCAAAGAAUUAAUCUGGGUUGGGAGUGUUUAUGCUUUCACAGUUUGCUUUCUCAGUUUUGUUCAUCAUUGUUCUCUUCUUGUAAAAGGCCUAUUGGGACCAAGCUGGGAAUGCAGCCGAGAACCCCUGGGAAUUUGCCCAUUGGCAAUUAAGUUUUCUAUAGAUUUUAUCCCUGUGCCAAGUACCAGUGUGGUUUUUGGCGAGUUGUAUAACCUGGGGAUAGCCGAUUACCCACACUUCACCCUGAGCCUCUGCGUCUUCAUCUGAAAAGUGAAAGGACUAGGAAAGAUGAUUUUGAGGUUCUUCCACCUCUAAGAUUUGAGAAUUUGAUAAUUCCUGAGUAAUAAAAGUCAGAUUUUUUUGACACUAGA